CACGUCUGGUGAUGAAGCUGCAUAGGGCAGAUUCUGAGCUGAGAGGUGCAGAUUCUCAGCACUGAUUCUCAGUUUACACAAUCUGAAGACGUG